CCCUUAGAUGUUCUGGGCCGCACGCGCGCUACACUGGUGAAGUCAACGAGUAUAAUCCUAGCUCGAAAGGGCCGGGUAAUCUUGGGAAACUUCACCGUGCUGGGGAUAGACUAUUGCAAUUAUUAGUCUUGAACGAGGAAUUCCUAGUAGGCAUGAUUCAUCAGAUCGUGCCGAUUACGUCCCUGCCCUUUGUACACACCGCCCGUCGCUCCUACCGAUUGGACAACCCGGUGAAAUCCUCGGACUGCGGCUCUGCCACAGGCUUGCCUUGGCGCUGCCGCGGAAAGUUGAUUAAACCUUGCUGUCUAGAGGAAGGAGAAGUCGUAACA
rnacentral:rRNA from 1 species